UAAACGGGUAUUUCAGUGAUAAACCAACGGUUCCUCAGACAAUUGCAACCUCUCCAAGAUAAUGGUAUCCACAUCAACAACGAUAAUGGGUCUCAUGCUGUUCUUAGAAAUAUGUCUAUGCAUUUUUGGAGUCGCAGUUGCAGAAGAAAAAUCAAUCGAUCAAAUAAUUGCAGACGCUUCCGAAUCAAGCAGAGAGAUGAAUUUUUUGUACGACUCAAGCAACGGAAUUGUGAAAACCGAAAUGGAUAUGAUGUUUCC
rnacentral:lncRNA from 1 species